ensembl:miRNA Mir7231 microRNA 7231
UUGGGGAACACUGGGGCAUACCCAAUGCUCAGACCUAACUUGCUUCUUUGUUUCCCCAGAA